UUUAGCAGGAUUUGACACUCCAGGCGGAGCUCUUGAGCGGAUGACUUCACUCAAAGACAUCUUUCCAGUCUAAUUUUAAUGAUGCACUCUCUCUCUCUUUCACAAACACACACAUACACUCCUGUGCACACUCACACGCAUAUGCAGUCAAAACACACAGACGCACACGAACUGGCUGGAAAACUAUUUUUAUUCAGGCUAGUGAUACCUUGUUCCUAAAAAGACAAAUGAUUUCACGGGUUAUUUCGUUUGGAUGUAUUUCUUGUUUUUAUCGAUGACUGGCUUCCUUUUUGUCACGCUUUAGACUGAUGUACGGUCACAUUGGAUUUGAAAACGACAUCCUUUCUUCCAUAGAUCCACGCUACCUGAAAGAAGGCCGCCUUCUGAAUCCAACGAUACCAGUUAUGUGCACAUCGGACCUACGCUUCAAAAGAUACGGACAGAUCCACGCUACCUGAAAGAAGGCCGCCUUCUGAAUCCAACGAUACCGGUUAUGUGCACAUCGGACCUACGCUUCAAAAGAUACGGACAGAUCCACGCUACCUGAAAGAAGGCCGCCUUCUGAAUCCAACGAUACCAGUUAUGUGCACAUCGGACCUACGCUUCAAAAGAUACGGACAGGUAAGCUUUGGCCAAUCAGAUCGCAUAUGCUAAUGAGGGUGGAAUUAAUGAGGGUGAAACUCGUUUUUAUCUAUAUACCUAGCUGCAACUGACCCCAAACUAGCCCCUAAACCUUAACCCUCAAAACUGCUAGCCUUAGCCCCAAACAAAACUG